rnacentral:rRNA from 1 species
GACGAACGCUGGCGGCGUGCUUAACACAUGCAAGUCGAACGAAAAGCGACGGAAGCUUGCUUCUAUCAAUCUUAGUGGCGAACGGGUGAGUAACGCGUAAUCAACCUGCCCUUCAGAGGGGGACAACAGUUGGAAACGACUGCUAAUACCCCAUACGAUCUAAUCUCGGCAUCGAGGAUAGAUGAAAGGUGGCCGCUACAUGUAAGCUAUCACUUGAGGAGGGGAUUGCGUCUGAUUAUCUAGUUGGAGGGGUAACGGGCCACCAAGGCGAUGAUCAGUAGCCGGUCUGAGAGGAAGGACCGCCACAUUGGGACUGAGACACGGCCCAGACUCCUACGGGAGGCAAGCGUGGGGAAUCUUUCGCCAUAGAGGGAAGUCUGACGGCGGAAAGCCGGGGGAGGGAUGGCAGGCUUCGGGUUGUAAAAGUCUUUUAGUCGGGAAGGAAGAGCUUCUUGCUAAUACUGAGAAGGUUUGACGGUACCGGAAUAGAAAGCCACGGCUAACUUCGUG